AGGGGGACAGGGAUUGUGGCUUACUGAUAGAGCAUUUGCCUUGCACAUGUGAGGCCCUGGGUUCGAUCCUCAGCAAUACAUAUAAAUAAAUAUAAUAAAGGCAUAAAAAAAAAGAAUAGGGCCUACAUGUAUUUACCGGUGAUACCCUUAUGACAAAGUGUCGCAGAGGGAAAACCUAAAUAAACCCUCUGGCUUCACUUGCUCUUAGUUGACUUAAAAUCACUAAUUUUGGAGGUCACACAGCACUGGCUUUGCUGUAGAUGACACUUCUCACAUGUGGGUUGGGAUGAUAACAGUUGCCUAGGUUCCUUUUUAGGGAGGCUUUUGGUGAAGGCACUGACUUGUCACUUGGGCCUGAGGAUGUCCCAUGGGUCUUGUCAUCUCUGCCUUCAGUUGUGGAUGUCUCCUUUGCUGCCUUAACCAUUGGGCCAGAUUUCUGCUCAACUCUGCAUGUAGAUAUGGUGACUAUUUGAGAGAUGUUUUGUCCAGAAUUACAGUAGGGGUUAACUUGACCCAAACUGCCUAGCCUCUCUCCUCCCCUUCAAGGCUAAAGAUACACCUACCAGCUGCCACAUCAGAAAACAGCAGACCGUGAGAGGAGCAAAAUGAGGUGGCAUCCAAGCUCCUGGAAGAUCUCUGUCUAUUUCUGGGGUUGACAUGAAGAUUCCACCUCUUGCUUAGUCUCUCUCUCUCUCCCUCCUUGCUUUUACCUUGUAUUUGUGACUCCCCAACCCCUUGGAGAUGAGAAGGUGAUUUUCCAGCAAAACUCCCACUUCUCAAUUCUUUGGCCACUGAAUAAAGUCUUUCUUUCUCCCCGACCCUGGGCCUCAGACAUUGUAUUUAUGUGCGAUGAGUUUCUGGAACCAAGCAACAAAAUCUAGGCCCUGGUGGUUCCCCUAAGAGAUGAAUGGGGACUGAGGAAGGAGAGAGACGAGAGAGGAAGAGUUGCCUCCC
rnacentral:lncRNA from 1 species